rnacentral:rRNA from 1 species
AGAGCGAACGCUGGCGGCAGGCCUAACACAUGCAAGUCGAACGGACCCUUCGGGGUUAGUGGCGGACGGGUGAGUAACACGUGGGAACGUGCCUUUAGGUUCGGAAUAGCUCCUGGAAACGGGUGGUAAUGCCGAAUGUGCCCUUCGGGGGAAAGAUUUAUCGCCUUUAGAGCGGCCCGCGUCUGAUUAGCUUGUUGGUGAGGUAAUGGCUCACCAAGGCUACGAUCAGUAGCUGGUCUGAGAGGAUGACCAGCCACAUUGGGACUGAGACACGGCCCAAACUCCUACGGGAGGCAGCAGUGGGGAAUCUUGCGCAAUGGGCGAAAGCCUGACGCAGCCAUGCCGCGUGUAUGAUGAAGGUCUUAGGAUUAGUAAAAUGCUUUACACCGGCGAAGAUAAUGACUGUAGCGGAGAAGAACGCCCCGGACUAACUUCGUAGCCAGCACGCCCGAC